UACGUAGGGUGCGAGCGUUAAUCGGAAUUACUGGGCGUAAAGCGCAUGUAGGCGGGUCUGCAAGUCAGAUGUGAAAUCCCCGGGCUCAACCCGGGAACUGCAUCUGAAACUGCAGGCCUUGAGUACUGGAGAGGGUGGCGGAAUUCCUGGUGUAGAGGUGAAAUUCGUAGAUAUCAGGAGGAACACCGGUGGCGAAGGCGGCCACCUGGACAGUAACUGACGCUGAGAUGCGAAAGCGUGGGGAGCAAACAGG
rnacentral:rRNA from 1 species